CAACCCCUUCAUGUUUCUCUUUCACCCCAUGUGUCUCUCCUCCAACCUGCAUCCUUUGGAGAAAGCCUUAGUCGCCAUGGCUCCCCUGACCGAGUGUGCUCCAUACACCGAAGUGUCGAUGCCCGCUGAUUCCAUAAUCCAUUUGACCCAACGAGACAAUGUGACUGUUGAAACAGGGUGAUAUGGAUGACGAAGGGCCAAGAAUAACUCCGGAUAUGCAGGGUCACGAGUCGAAGAAGUCCUGGACUCGUAUUCCU